UGAGGGCAGCCCUCUAGUUGGGAAGCCAGAUCUUUGACAAAAGAGUUUAAAACUCCCUAAUAAGCAUUUUGUUGACAAGGUCAGUCUUCAUUCUUUCUCCCAAAAUUAGAAACCACCCUUUUUUCCUUGUCAUAACAACACUGGUGCUUAUCACCAAUUGUGUGGAGGGAGAAGAGUGACGUCCUUUAGAUCUGAAGAUUGACAGUACAGAGGAGGGAACUCUUAACUUCCAAAACCACCCUGUCCAGGAACUAUUUUCCCUUUUCCCGCUUACCAGACAUCCAGAUGGAAAUCUGCUCUUCAGAGAAGGAAGGAAAUGACACAAGAAAAAAGACAUCCGCAAAUGAGUAAGCUUUGCCCAGGAGGCCACGUUAAGUGAGGUGGAUGGAAACGUAAAUCAUCUGAGAGAGCGAGACUCUAACACUGCCUGCGUGGCUCUGCUUUGCAAAGAUGCUCACUCACCACCACCUCACACGCUCAGUGAUGACCACAAUAAUAUAAUUGUAUUUCCUUCUCCAUUGUAGUGUGGGGUAACUUGCAAUACUGAGCAGUUUAUGGGCCUUCCCCUAUGCACUCUGCAAGUUCCUGGAAAAACAGGGAGUUGGCACGCCACGUUUCCAGCCCCUGGGACCAGCUGCCUCAGGACGCCUGCCUGCCAACCUCCAUACAUCCAGACCACAGUUUCAGAUGCUCAUUCAUUGACCUCACGCUUGCUCUAGGACAGGGGCAGCAGGCACAUGCUGAUCCAAGUUUAGAGCAGAAAUAUGCAAGGCAGUUGCAGUUAUAAAGGGUGUGCAGAGGUGGUGCGAAGGUCACUGCUAAAGUGAAGCAGGAAAGACAUGAUUUCUUGGGAUGAGGGUAAGAGCACUUCAGAAAGCUUGAUUACUAGAAAGCUGCAGUUCUUCCCCAGGAGGGGAUGCACACAGACAGGCCUAUUAUCAAAGCAGCAUUCCAGUGUAGAAGGGCAAUGCUCAGCCUAACCUGAUGUGAAAACGCCAGUCCUUUCUGUCUCGUUUAUCCUGCCUUAGAUUUAACCCAUUCUGGGAUGGGCAGGAAGAAAGAAAGACCUUCCCCAAGAAGUGCUGACCAGGCAGUUAUGUUUGUGGGGAGAGUCUUCUUGACAGCAAAGAAAGAAGAACUAACUUAUUUUGCCAUUAACGACAAUCCUUCUGCGUCAAUCUCCCAAAGUGCUGAGAUUACAGGUAUAUGCCGCCACACCAGGCUUUAGAAUCCUGUUCUAAAAGUUAUUUCUUUGACCAUCAUAGCUUCUUAUGAAGAAAAAAAAAAAAAAAAAAAAAAGCCAGGAAGACAGCUUUCAUAUGAAGGAGAAAUGGUGGACCCAGGCGCAAAGUGGCUGAAGGCAAGGAAGAAAUCAAGAAGUGGAGAGAAGCUCCAAUUCUAGGAGUGAGUGAAUGCCCACGUUUGUUCCCAUGGAAACUGGUUUCUCCUCUCUCUUGCUUCCUCUCUCACCAUGCGAUGCCUACUCCCCUUCACCUUCUCCAUGAGUGGAAACAUCUGAGGCCCUCACCAAAGCAGAUGCUGGCACCAUCCUGUGGAGCCUGCAGAACCAUAAGCCAAAUCAACAUCUUCUUCUUAUAAAUUUCCCAGCCUCAAGUAUUCCUUUAUAGCAACACAAAUGGACUAAGGCCAUAUGGCAGGGGCAGUGAUGUCUGACUUCCAAGUCUCCCUCCUGUGGGGCAUUGCAGCUUCUGCCCUGUUCUCUGGGAGAGGCUGGCCUGCAUACCACGAGUAUCCUCAAGCAGCCCUGUCAAGAAGGGCCCAUAGAGAAGAGCCGAGGGCUCCCACCAAAAACCUUGGCAUCUUGAAAGUGGAUCCUCCAGCCCCAGUCCAACCUUCAGAUAGUGCAGUACCAGCCAACAUCUCAGCUGCAACCUCAGGAAAGACCACGAGCCUGAACAACCCGACCAAGCUGCUCACACACUCCUGACCCACAGAAAUUAGCAAGAAAAGAAAAUUGAACAACCACUUUCAACAAAGAGCCAAGGACUUGCCCUAUGGAUGAAAUGGCAACUCAUUUACUAAUGAAGGAAGAAGCCCAGAAAUCCAAUUAGGAAGUAAUUGGAUUUGAAGGUUUAGAGCCUCGUAUUGGACUUGGGCAGAGGAAAUCCCUCAAAUGUUAUAAAUCAAGAAAAAUACAGCCUGCAGCGGAAACGAGAAAGAUGUCUUAAAAUAAUACGAUAACAAACAAGCAGAAAUACCAAAGACAAUUCAUUUUGCUUUGUACUUAGUGUGGACUUUUUACUAGCCUGCUGCAUGUAACUUGUUGGCUGGCUUAGCGCUUAGGCAAAGUCAGUGAGGAAAACAUCUGUUCACACGUGAAUCCAGCUGGCAAACCAAGAAAUUAAGUAAAUCUGCAGGGUAGGAGGGACGGAGAAAG